rnacentral:rRNA from 1 species
CCUACGGGCGGCUGCAGUGGGGAAUAUUGGACAAUGGGCGAAAGCCUGAUCCAGCCAUGCCGCGUGUGUGAAGAAGGCCUUCGGGUUGUAAAGCACUUUCAGUGGGGAAGAAAGCCUUGGGGCUAAUACCCUCGAGGAAGGACAUCACCCACAGAAGAAGCACCGGCUAACUCCGUGCCAGCAGCCGCGGUAAUACGGAGGGUGCGAGCGUUAAUCGGAAUUACUGGGCGUAAAGCGCGCGUAGGCGGUCUGAUAAGCCGGUUGUGAAAGCCCCGGGCUCAACCUGGGAACGGCAUCCGGAACUGUCAGGCUAGAGUGCAGGAGAGGAAGGUAGAAUUCCCGGUGUAGCGGUGGAAUGCGUAGAGAUCGGGAGGAAUACCAGUGGCGAAGGCGGCCUUCUGGACUGACACUGACGCUGAGGUGCGAAAGCGUGGGUAGCAAACAGGAUUAGAUACCCAGUAGUC